rnacentral:rRNA from 1 species
UACAGAGGGUGCGAGCGUUAAUCGGAAUUACUGGGCGUAAAGCGCGCGUAGGCGGCUUUGCAAGUCGGGUGUGAAAUCCCCAGGCUUAACCUGGGAACUGCAUUCGAGACUGCAUUGCUAGAGUAUGGGAGAGGGAAGUGGAAUUUCCGGUGUAGCGGUGAAAUGCGUAGAUAUCGGGAGGAACACCAGUAGCGAAGGCGGCUCGCUGGGCCGUUCCUGACGCUGAGACGCGAAAGCUAGGGGAGCGAACAGG